UCCUCAUCCUCACACUCACUUGCUCGAGUCUUGAAACAGGUUACUAGAAGUUGUAGAAGACUCCACAAAAGGACUCAAAGGGACUUUCUUAGAAUGUUCGAAAGAACUCUCAAAACUUAACUCUUAGCUCUACCUUGAAUUUGAAUUAUGAAUUCAAGGUUAUGAUCAUGUUAUGAAUGAUUUCUAGGUGUUUAGAAGUAGCUUAGAG
rnacentral:lncRNA from 1 species